rnacentral:snRNA from 1 species
GAAUGUGAGAGCGAUCCGGCUGCAACAUCUGUCACCCCAUUGAUCGCCAGGGUUUAUUCGGCUGAUCUGGCUGGCUAGGUGGGUGUCCCCUUCCUCCCUCACCGUUCCAUGUGCGUCCCUCCCGAAGCUGCGCACUAGGUCGAAGAGGACAGCCUUCCCCGAAUAGAGACCUGGUCUUCGGUCGGUCGAGGGUAUCUGAGUAGCUGUGCUUCCCUGCUAGAACCUCCAAACAAGCUCUCAAAAUGGAUCCACACAAUUCUGUUUAUGUAACCCAAUAAUCCACUUAGAAAACAAUUAUGU